ACUCAAAUCUUGGAAGACACUUCCUUUCCUAUUGUCUUCCUACCAGACUUGGAAAUCUGAGACUGAUUAAUGUCCUUCUAGAGGUAGAUGUGGUAGAUGAUAAUGACCCGUUUACCAGCCUAGGAUGACUAGCUUAGGAAGGUCUACAGAGACCUAGAAACCCUGCCCUAUGAGGUUGGAAGAACAGGAAAUUACCAGUCUGGAGAAACCUCAGACACUUAAAAACCAGCCUUGGAGUGCCAAAACACUUUCCUUUAUACCCAUCUGAGCUUCGCCAUAUCCAGCUCUUUGUGAGAGAUGUAACUGGACAAAUCUGUUACCUCAGAGUCUCAGUUCCAUCACCUGUGAAUUGAACAUAAGAGUUCUUCACUACAAAGGACGAUUGUGAGGAUUAAAUGAAAUGAUUAAUAUAAAGAAUGCAGCACAACACCGGCUACAGGUUUAGACCUGGGUUUGUCUUCCUCAGAAUCCAUGUUCUUAAAAACUGUAUUGUAGUGGAGAGAGAAAAAAAUGGCGUAGAUGAUAGAGGCUCUGUUCAUCCCUCUGGCGACCAAAUCAAAGUUGUGACGGAAACAAGGAGCAG